UGAAUACGAGAUGCUACGGCGUCGAAGCAGUCUAUGUCAUACUUCCAAGAAAAGCUUGCACUGUCAUAAACAAAUAAUGCCUGUACCAUAACCGACACAGGUGGGUAGGUAGAGUAUACUAAGGGGCGCGAGAUAACUCUCUCUAAGGAACUCGGCAAAAUGACUCCGUAACUUCGGGAGAAGGAGUGCCUUAUUUAUAAGGUUGCAAUAACAAGAUCCAAGCAACUGUUUACCAAAAACACAGGUCUCCGCUAAGUCGUAAGACGAUGUAUGGGGGCUGACGCCUGCCCAGUGCCAGAAGGUUAAAGAAGUUGGUUAGCAUCCGCGAAGCUGAUAACUGAAGCCCUGGUGAACGGCGGCCGUAACGAUAACGGUCCUAAGGUAGCGAAAUUCCUUGUCGGGUAAGUUCCGACCCGCACGAAAGGCGUAAUGAUUUGGAUACUGUCUCGGAGAGGGGCUCGGUGAAAUAGACUUGUCUGUGAAGAUGCGGACUACCUGCACCAGGACAGAAAGACCCUAUGAAGCUUUACUGUAACCUGAAAUUGAAAUUGGACUUUACUUGCGCAGUAUAGGUGGGAGGCGUUGAGAAUAUUCUUGCGGGAUUAUUGGAGCCAUCAGUGAGAUACCACUCUUGUAAUGUUAGAUUUCUAACUUUGUAUCAUUAUCUGGUCAAAGAACAGUUUCAGGCGGGCAGUUUGACUGGGGCGGUCGCCUCCUAAACGGUAACGGAGGCGCACAAAGGUUUCCUCUGAACGGGUAGAAAUCGUAUCUAGAGUGUAAAGGCAUAAGGAAGCUUGACUGUGAGACCUACAAGUCGAGCAGGGACGAAAGUCGGUCUUAGUGAUCUGACGGUGCUGAGUGGAAAGGCCGUCACUCAACGGAUAAAAGUUACUCUAAGGAUAACAGGCUGAUCUCCCCCAAGAGUUCACAUCGACGGGGAGGUUUGGCACCUCGAUGUCGGCUCAUCGCAUCCUGGGGCGGUAGUACGUCCCAAGGGUUGGGCUGUUCGCCCAUGAAAGCGGUACGCGAGCUGGGUUCAGAACGUCGUGAGACAGUUCGGUCCAUAUCCGGUGUAGGCGUUAGAAUAUUGAGAGGAGCCUUCUUUAGUACGAGAGGACCGAGAAGGACAUACCUCUGGUGUACCAGUUAUCGUGCCAACGGUAAACGCUGGGUAGCUAUGUGUGGAGUGGAUAACCGCUGAAAGCAUCUAAGUGGGAAGCCCACCUCAAGAUAAGUAUUCU
rnacentral:rRNA from 1 species